rnacentral:rRNA from 1 species
AGAGUUUGAUCCUGGCUCAGGAUGAACGCUGGCGGCGUGCUUAACACAUGCAAGUCGAACGGGAAAUAUUUCAUUGAGACUUCGGUGGAUUUGAUCUAUUUCUAGUGGCGGACGGGUGAGUAACGCGUGGGUAACCUGCCUUAUACAGGGGGAUAACAGUCAGAAAUGGCUGCUAAUACCGCAUAAGCGCACAGAGCUGCAUGGCUCAGUGUGAAAAACUCCGGUGGUAUAAGAGGGUCCCGCGUUGGUCUAGCUGGUGGGUGGGGUACCGCCCCACCAACGCGCCGAUCGGUACCCGGCUUGAGAGCCGUGCCCGCCCGCAUGGGGAUUGAGCCACGCCCCAGAUUCUUCCGGGAGCCACCAGUGGGGAUAUAUUGCCACAAGGGGGGAACCCUGAGACGACAGGCACCGCGCUGUGAGAGAGAGAGAGAGCAUCUGGGUAGUGAUAACACUUCUUUCACCAGGAAGGAUCGAGACGGUACCUGCAUAAGAAGCUCCGGCUAACUACGUGCCAGCAGCCGCGGUAAUACGUAGGGAGCGAGCGUUUAUCCGGAUUUCAUGGGGCGUAAAGCAGCGGGUGGGGGCCCUGUCCGACCGGGAGUGUUGUAUCGGGAGGCUCCACCCCCCGACGCCCCCGGAACCUCCGAGGCUUGAGUCCGGUAGAGGCGGGUGGAACUCCCGGUGUAGCGGUGGAAUGCGCAGAUAUCGGGAGGAACACCGGUGGCGAAGGCGGCCCUCUGGGCCGCGACUGACGCUGAGGCGCGAAAGCUGGGGGAGCGAACAGGAUUAGAUACCCUGGUAGUCCCAGCCGUAAACGAUGGAUACUAGGUGUGGGGGGCUCCGCCCUGCGUGCGCGCAGCCAACGCAUUAAGUAUACGAAUUGGGGAGUAGGUCGCCAAGGAUGUAAUUCAAAGGAAGUGAGGAGGUACUGAACAAGCAGUUGUAUCACGAGGUACAAUUUGAAGUAUUGCGAAGA